GGAUGUGAAGUUGAUCUGGCUGCAACAUCUCUUACCCCAUAACCCAUAAAUUUCCAGUGUUAAUUUGGCAGGUGUCCCCUUCCUCCCUCAAUGCUCCAUGUGCAUCCCUCCUGAAGCUGCAUGCUCACCUUCCCAGAAUAGCGGAGGACCAGUCUGUUAAGGGCAUAUGAGUAGCUAUGCUCCCCUGCUAGAGCCUCCAAACAAGCUUGCAUAUUCUGAUGUUUCUGAGAGUGAAUCUAUUUGAAUAAUCACAAUUGGAAAAUUUAGGAGUGAUGGGCUCACUGUAAAUAU
rnacentral:snRNA from 1 species